rnacentral:rRNA from 1 species
UGGCGGCGUGCUUAUACAUGCAAGUCGAACGAGAUCCAUCUGGUGGUAACACCAGCUGAAGAUUUAGUGGCGAACGGGUGCGUAACACGUGAGCAACCUGCCUCGAAGACUGGGAUAACACCGGGAAACCAGUGCUAAUACCGGAUACCCCCACGGAAUCACAUGGUUCUGUGAGGAAAGGAUUCUGCUUCGAGAGGGGCUCGCGGCCUAUCAGCUUGUUGGCGGGGUAAUGGCCCACCAAGGCGACGACGGGUAGCUGGUCUGAGAGGACGAUCAGCCACACUGGGACUGAGACACGGCCCAGACUCCUACGGGAGGCAGCAGUAGGGAAUCUUGCGCAAUGGGCGAAAGCCUGACGCAGC